AGCGAACGCUGGCGGCAGGCUUAACACAUGCAAGUCGAGCGGGCAUAGCAAUAUGUCAGCGGCAGACGGGUGAGUAACGCGUGGGAACGUACCUUUUGGUUCGGAACAACACAGGGAAACUUGUGCUAAUACCGGAUAAGCCCUUACGGGGAAAGAUUUAUCGCCGAAAGAUCGGCCCGCGUCUGAUUAGCUAGUUGGUGAGGUAAUGGCUCACCAAGGCGACGAUCAGUAGCUGGUCUGAGAGGAUGAUCAGCCACAUUGGGACUGAGACACGGCCCAAACUCCUACGGGAGGCAGCAGUGGGGAAUAUUGGACAAUGGGCGCAAGCCUGAUCCAGCCAUGCCGCGUGAGUGAUGAAGGCCCUAGGGUUGUAAAGCUCUUUUGUGCGGGAAGAUAAUGACGGUACCGCAAGAAUAAGCCCCGGCUAACUUCGUGCCAGCAGCCGCGGUAAUACGAAGGGGGCUAGCGUUGCUCGGAAUCACUGGGCGUAAAGGGUGCGUAGGCGGGUCUUUAAGUCAGGGGUGAAAUCCUGGAGCUCAACUCCAGAACUGCCUUUGAUACUGA
rnacentral:rRNA from 1 species